GGUUAAAGGUACCCGUACCGCAAAACCGACACAGGUGGGUGAGGAGAGUAUCCUAAGGCCAGCGAGAGAACUGUUGUUAAGGAACUCGGCAAAAUGACCCCGUAACUUAGGGAUAAGGGGUGCCACCAUCAGGUGGCCGCAGAGAAUAGGCCCAAGCGACUGUUUACCAAAAACAUAGGUUUCUGCUAAGUCGCAAGACGAUGUAUAGGAGCUGACGCCUGCCCGGUGCUGGAAGGUUAAGGGGAUCUGUUAGAGCAAUCGAAGCAGUGAACUUAAGCCCCAGUAAACGGCGGCCGUAACUAUAACGGUCCUAAGGUAGCGAAAUUCCUUGUCGGGUAAGUUCCGACCCGCACGAAAGGCGUAACGAUUUGGGCACUGUCUCAACAACAGACUCGGUGAAAUUGUAAUUCCGGUGAAGAUGCCGGAUACCUGCGACAGGACGGAAAGACCCCAUGGAGCUUUACUGUAGCUUGACAUUGGGUCUUGGUACUACAUGUACAGGAUAGGUGGGAGGCUUUGAAACCAGGACGCCAGUUUUGGCGGAGCCAUCCUUGGGAUACCACCCUUGUAGUACUGGGACUCUAACCAUAGGCCAUGAAUCUGGUCUUGGGACACUGUCAGGUGGGCAGUUUGACUGGGGCGGUCGCCUCCCAAAAGGUAACGGAGGCGCUCAAAGGUUCUCUCAGUACGGUCGGAAAUCGUACGUAGAGUGUAAAGGCAAAAGAGAGCUUGAUUGCAAGACAUACAGGUCGAGCAAGGAUGAAAAUCGGACUUAGUGAUCCGGUGGUUCUGCGUGGAAGGGCCAUCGCUCAACGGAUAAAAGCUACCCUGGGGAUAACAGGCUUAUCUCCCCCAAGAGUCCACAUCGACGGGGAGGUUUGGCACCUCGAUGUCGGCUCAUCACAUCCUGGGGCUGUAGUAGGUCCCAAGGGUUGGGCUGUUCGCCCAUUAAAGUGGUACGCGAGCUGGGUUCAGAACGUCGUGAGACAGUUCGGUCCCUAUCCGUCGCAGGCGUAGGAAAUUUGAGAAGACCUGUCCUUAGUACGAGAGGACCGGGAUGGACGUACCUCUGGUGUACCAGUUGUCCUGCCAAGGGCAUGGUUGGGUAGCUAUGUACGGAAUGGAUAAGCGCUGAAAGCAUCUAAGCGCGAAGCCAACUUCAAGAUAAGAUUUCCCACCGCAAGGGUAAGACCCCAGAAAGACUAUCUGGUUGAUAGGUCGAAGGUGUAAGUGCAGCAAUGUAUUUAGCUUAUCGAUACUAAUAGGUCGAGGACUUGACCAA
rnacentral:rRNA from 1 species